UGGGAGGGGAAGCUCCACACUGAGGACGCGGAGGUGGUUUCAGACCGCAGCGCCCGGGCUCCUCCUCCCGCGCUACCCAGGGAGGCGGGCUGUGCUCUUUCCAAGGUCCCGCCAAAGGGCCCCGCCAUCCCGCAAUGAGACCUUCGCAGCCUUCCCUCCUACACUAGGCCGGGGGCCGCCGGACCGGAAGCUGCGGGGUCUCGGGGCCCCGGCUCGUUCUCACUUAGCCGCAAGCCGCGGGUGCGCAUGCUCCGCGAAGGCCCGCACAGGGCCCGGGUGAACCCUGAUAGAGCCAUCGCAAGGCGGGCUGUUUUCAUGGGCGUGCUAGGAGUUAACUCCUGGGAUGGAAAUACUACCAGGAGCGGUGAGAAGCAAGACCUAGAAAGCUCGGAGGAAGUGGGUGGAAGGUGGAGCUCUUGUCUGUCUCCUCGGCUGCUAAUCCCAGCCCCAGAUUCCGAAAGGGGAGCCCCGUGCCUCCUGAAAUGUGAGAAAAUCCUUCCACCUCACCCAACCUGGCUGCCAGUUCCUCGCUGAACCAGAUCUUUUCGCUCACAGGCUCAUUCUCGGCAGAUGGUUAUUGCUGGAAUGGUGGUGGUUUGGGGAACUCUUUUUUGCUGAGAUGGUGAAGUGGGAAGUCUCUCCCCAGGCAGAGAUGGAUGCCUCGGGCCAAGAAAGAUGAAGGUCAUGUAUUCAUAAAGGCAAGAAAGGAAAACACAUUCAUAAAUUUUCAAAUAUCCUUUUAUGCUUGAAAUGUUACCAGCAUUGGAUAAUGGAACCAAAGGAAACAUAACAGACACCCCAAGCCCACCACAGACUUUCCUACAGAUGUGAACAAACCUCCUACAUACAGGUAGAUGCACUUCCACAAGACACGUCACGAGGCAUGGAAUCCCCACCACACGCGUGCUGAACCUUGCAGAACUGUCUAGCUUUCUGACUAACUGGCCUAACGUGAUAGUGUUUAUUCUCCUGAGUGGACUUUCAUAUGGCUCCAAUCUUGCCACCUGCUGUAUUGAAUGUUGGGUUCACAACUACCACUCUUUUGGGGGCUCAGCAUGGUUUGGGGGAGGAGGCCAGACUUGCCUUCAUCUCCAGGAGCUAAAUCAAGUCUUGGCCUUGCCUGAGAUUUUAGGACCCCUGGCCUCUUCCCACCCCCUUGUCCUUUGUAAGUACAGGAUCCUGCCCCUGGGUGAUGGUCUCAAUUUCUCUGUGUUUGCCCAAGACUGGCUCUUGUUCCUCGUCUCCAUUCCCCAGGGCCAGGUGUCCCCCAUUUGGACCAGGCUUUGAGGUGGGCCCAACCGGGAAGUCCCUUGGGCAUCCUGGGACCUGGGGGAGAGGUCUCUGCACGAAGGGGAGGGCAAGGCAGCUCAACCAAGCCCAAGGGGCCACCUCAAUGGCCUUCCACAGCCCCUGGCUGAGUGGACGGACACUGCUCCCAACGUGGGCUUUGACCCAGAGCCAGGCUUGGGCAGGUAGUGAGGCUCCAUGUCCCAGAAUGUUAGAGUGAACUGGGGGCUUUGAAAUUAUCUAGUCCAGCCACUUCAUUUUAUAAGCUAGAAAACUUGAGUCUCUGAGAUGGGAAGGGAUGUGCCUGAGGUCACCCCGUGAAUCUUCAACCUCAGGUCUUAGCUCCGACUCUAAUUUCAGCGUGUCACAGGAUGAGCCUCUGGUGGGGGUGAAGACUAAAGCUCCCUAAGUGCACAAGUUAUGGAAAUUCAGGACAAACCAGAGAUGCAGGCAUCCUUGCUCUGGGUGACUGACUACAAUUUUAAUCCAGACCCAAGGACACCUUUUUGAAAAAACUUUGGCGGUUGUGUGGCUGUGACUUGGAAGACACCUCUGCUCCCAGUCAGGGGCCCAGCUCUGAGCCACAUGAAGACUUCUGGCCUGAAAAGAUCUGAACACCCCUCCUUAAUGAAUUUGCAUUUAACUGAGAAACAACCCUCAUGCAAAUCUGCGUUUACCCCAUUUUUCCCCUGGACUGUUCUCUCUAUUGGCAAAUGUUAACUUAGGCACUUCCUGUGCGCCAGGCUCUGUUCUUUGCACUUUACCUGUUACUCAUUUAACCCUCCCAGGAACUAUCAUCGUCUUCAUCUUCAUCAUCAUCAUCAUCCCCAUUUUAUCCAUUAGGAGACUGGUACAAAGGGAUUAAGUAAUUUGCCUGAGGCCCCCAGGUUAGAAAGGGGCAGAGUGAGGGCCCAAUCCCAGGCAGUGCCCCUUCCACACCAGAGCUGUGAGCCUGGACCUCCAGUAGGAUGGUCACCCAUCACCGCCAGCUGCUCCCCUAGACAGUUCUGAGACUCUCACUCCCAGUGACCCCCUGGUCCAGUGAGAAGAAAGCUCAGGCAGGCAGAGAGCUGCACACGAGCCCCAGACAUUGUGCCAUCUUAAGAUCCAGAUCCUCGACCUGCAUAGCCUUGCAGAACUGAGACCUACACCUGAGCCUGGUUACGCACACAUCCCGGCUUCCCUGGCCUUCAAGAAGCUGUGGCUGAUGAAACUUAAAAGCUUUUGCACAGCAAAGGAAACAAUAAACAAGAUGAAAAGACAACCCUCAGAAUGGGAGAAGAUAUUUGCAAACGAAGCAACUGACAAAGGAUUAAUCUCUAAAAUAGACAAGCAGCUUGUGUAGCUCAAUGUAAAAAAAACAAACAACCCAAUCCAAAAAUGGGCAGAUGACCUAAAUAGACAUUUCUCCAAAGAAGAUAUACAGAUUGCCAACAAACACAUGAAAAGCUGCUCAACAUCACUAAUCAUUAGAGAAAUGCAAAUCAGAACCACCUUGAGGUAUCACCUCACACCCGUCAGAAUGGCCAUCAUCAAAAAAAUCUAGAAACAAUAAAUGCUGGAGAGGGUGUGGAGAAAAGGGAACCCUCUUGCACUGUUGGUGGGAAUGUAAAUUAAUACAGCCACUAUGGAGAACAGUAUGGAGGUUUCUUAAAAAAACUAAAAAUAGAACUACCAUAUGACCCAGCAAUCCCACUACUGGGCAUAUACCCUGAGAAAACCAUAAUUCAAAAAGAGUCAUGUACCACAGUGUUCAUUGCAGCUCUAUUUACAAUAGCCAGGACAUGGAAGCAACCUAAGUGUCCAUUGACGGAUGAAUGGAUAAAGAAGAUGUGGCACAUAUAUACAAUGGAAUAUUAUUACUGAGCCAUAAAAAGGAACGAAAUUGAGUUAUUUAUAGUGAGGUGGAUGGACCUAGAGUCUGUCAUACAGAGUAAAGUAAGUCAGAAAGAGAUAAAUACCAUAUGCUAACACAUAUAUAUGGAAUCUAAAAAAAAAAAAGUUCUGAAGAACCCAGGGGCAGGACAGGAAUAAAGAUGCAGACAGAGAGAAUGCACUUGAGGACACAGGAAGGGGGAAGGGUAAGCUGGGACGAAGUGAGAGAGUGGCAUGGACAUAUAUACACUACCAAAUGUAAAAUAGAUAGCUAGUGGGAAGCAGCCGCAUAGCACAGGGAGAUCAGCUGGGUGCUUUGUGACCACCUAGAGGGGUGGGAUAGGGAGGGUGGGAGGGAGACGCAAGAAGGAGGAGAUAUGGGGAUAUAUGUAUAUGUAUAGCUGAUUCACUUUGUUAUACAACAGAAACUAACACACCAUUGUAAAGUAAUUAUACUGCAAUAAAGAUGUUAAAUUUAAAAAAAGUCCUCAUAAAGAUU